UUUUAAUGGACUGUAAGUGCCUGUUGAAAGAAAAGGAGACAGUUGCAGUUCAUUAAAAUU
rnacentral:pre_miRNA from 1 species